UACGAAGGGGGCUAGCGUUGCUCGGAAUCACUGGGCGUAAAGCGCACGUAGGCGGCUUCUUAAGUCAGGGGUGAAAUCCUGGAGCUCAACUCCAGAACUGCCUUUGAUACUGAAGAUCUUGAGUUCGGGAGAGGUGAGUGGAACUGCGAGUGUAGAGGUGAAAUUCGUAGAUAUUCGCAAGAACACCAGUGGCGAAGGCGGCUCACUGGCCCGAUACUGGACGCUGAGGCACGAAAGCGUGGG
rnacentral:rRNA from 1 species